GCAGCCUUAGGCCUGGGGGGCAAAACCAGUCAAGUAGACUGGUGCACUUGCCCAGGAUCAGAGCCGGUGCAAGGAUUUUUGCCGCCCUAGACAAAAUAAAAAUUUGCUGCCCCCACAUGUCACAUCACAAUGCCCCACCCAUAUGAUCUGCCAUAUGAACUAACGCCAUAUCCACUUCAUUAAGCUAUAGUGUCCCUUUAAUGUGAGGUAAAUUAUAGAUUAGUGUCACUAAUAAUAUACUAGAUUGCCUACUUACAAGCAGAUGAGGAUGAUGAU